rnacentral:rRNA from 1 species
CAGUAGCCGCGGGAAAACAGAGGGUGCGAGCGUUAAUCGGAUUUACUGGGCGUAAAGCGUGCGUAGGCGGCUUUUUAAGUCUGAUGUGAAAUCCCUGAGCUUAACUUAGGAAUUGCAUUCGAUACUGGGAAGCUAGAGUAUGGGAGAGGAUGGUAGAAUUCCAGGUGUAUCGGUGAAAUGCGUAGAGAUCUGGAGGAAUACCGAUGGCGAAGGCAGCCAUCUGGCCUAAUACUGACGCUGAGGUACGAAAGCAUGGGGAGCAAACAGGAUUAGAUACCCCUGUAGUCCCUGUCUCUUAUAC